CCUACGGGGGGCAGCAGUGGGGAAUAUUGCGCAAUGGGCGAAAGCCUGACGCAGCGACGCCGCGUGAGGGAUGAAGGUCUUCGGAUCGUAAACCUCUGUCAGCAGGGAAGAACGGUCACUGUGCUAAUCAGCAGUGAAUUGACGGUACCUGCAAAGGCAGCACCGGCUAACUCCGUGCCAGCAGCCGCGGUAAUACGGAGGGUGCGAGCGUUAAUCGGAAUUACUGGGCGUAAAGCGCUCGUAGGCGGUAUGUCAAGUCAAGGGUGAAAUCCCCGCGCUCAACGUGGGAACUGCCUUUGAAACUGGCAAACUGGAGUGUGUGAGAGGAUAGUGGAAUUCCAGGGGUAGGAGUGAAAUCCGUAGAUAUCUGGAGGAACAUCAGUGGCGAAGGCGACUAUCUGGAACAUAACUGACGCUGAGGAGCGAAAGCGUGGGUAGCAAACAGGAGUAGAUACCCGAGUAGUC
rnacentral:rRNA from 1 species